AACGUAGGAGACGAACGUUAUCCGGAGUUACUGGGCGUAAAGGGCGUGCAGGCGGCACUUUAAGUUCGGCGUGAAAGCCUCCGGCUAAACCGGGGGAGGUCGUCGGAAACUGGAGGGCUAGAGGGUGAUAGAGGCGGGUGGAAUUCCGGGUGUAGUGGUGAAAUGCGUAGAGAUCCGGAGGAACACCAGUGGCGAAGGCGACCCGCUGGGUCACACCUGACGCUGAGACGCGACAGCAUGGGGAGCGAACGGG
rnacentral:misc_RNA from 1 species